rnacentral:rRNA from 1 species
UACGUAGGGUGCGAGCGUUGUCCGGAAUUAUUGGGCGUAAAGGGCUCGUAGGCGGUCUGUCACGUCGGGAGUGAAAACUCGGGGCUUAACUCCGAGCCCGCUUCUGAUACGGGCAGACUAGAGGUAUGCAGGGGAGAAUGGAAUUCCUGGUGUAGCGGUGAAAUGCGCAGAUAUCAGGAGGAACACCGGUGGCGAAGGCGGUUCUCUGGGCAUGACCUGACGCUGAGGAGCGAAAGUGUGGGGAGCGAACAGG